CAGUAGCCACGGUAAUACGAAGGGGGCUAGCGUUGCUCGGAAUUACUGGGCGUAAAGGGAGCGUAGGCGGACAUUUAAGUCAGGGGUGAAAUCCCAGAGCUCAACUCUGGAACUGCCUUUGAUACUGGGUGUCUUGAGUGUGAUAGAGGUAUGUGGAACUCCGAGUGUAGAGGUGAAAUUCGUAGAUAUUCGGAAGAACACCAGUGGCGAAGGCGACAUACUGGAUCAUUACUGACGCUGAGGCUCGAAAGCGUGGGGAGCAAACAGGAUUAGAGACCCGCGUAGUCCCUGUCUCUUAUAC
rnacentral:rRNA from 1 species